UUGGAGGGCAAGUCUGGUGCCAGCAGCCGCGGUAAUUCCAGCUCCAAUAGCGUAUAUUAAAGUUGUUGCAGUUAAAAAGCUCGUAGUUGAAUUUCGGGAUCAAGGAAUCGGUCAUGCCUUGGUAUGUACUGGUUUUAUUGGUUCUCACCUUCUAAAGAACCAUAAUGUCAUUUAUUUGAUGUUAUGGGGAAUUAAGACUGUUACCUUGAAAAAAUUAGAGUGUUUAAAGCAAGCUUACGCUUGAAUACAUUAGCAUGGAAUAAUGAAAUAGGACAUCAGAUUCUAUUUUGUUGGUUUCUAGGAUCGAUGUAAUGAUUAAUAGGGAUAGUUGGGGGCAUUAGUAUUCAAUUGUCAGAGGUGAAAUUCUUGGAUUUAUUGAAGACUAACUACUGCGAAAGCAUUUGCCAAGGAUGUUUUCAUUAAUCAAGAACGAAAGUUAGGGGAUCGAAGACGAUCAGAUACCGUCGUAGUCUUAACCAUAAACUAUGCCGACUAGGGAUCGGAUGAUGUUAAUUUUUUAAUGACUCAUUCGGCGCCUUACGGGAAAC
rnacentral:rRNA from 1 species